rnacentral:SRP_RNA from 1 species
GCUGGGUGUGGUGGUGCGCGCCUGUAAUCCCAGUUACUUGGGAGGCUGAGACUGGAAAAUUGCUUGAACCCAGGAGGCGGAGGUUGCAGUGAGCCGAGAUCACACCACUGCACCCUAGCCUGGGUGACAGAGCAAGACUCUGUCUCAG